CUCUCCCAUUUCUUCUUCUUCUUCUUUGUUCUUCUUCUUCUUCAUGUUUGCCGAAACCCUUCGGAAACGGCGCCGCACGAAUCCUCCCCUCCCUUCUGCCAUUUCUUCUUUCUUCUUCUUUCUUCUUCUUCUUCUUCUUCUUCUUCUUCUUCCGCACGAAUCCAGUCCCUUCUCCCAUCUUUUCUUCUUCUUCUUUCUUCUUUCUUCUCCUUCUCCUUCUUGUUGUUGUUGUUGACCCUUGCGCCGCCAUUCACCCACCCUCGCGUGGACCAUCGGCCUCACUUCACCCUUUCUCUCACGGUCUUCGAUUCAUGGGUUGCGCCGCCAUAUCCAUCUCCCGAAACUCACCCACCCUCGCGCGGACCGUGAGCCUCACCUCACUCUUUGUCUUCGAUUCCCAUAGUUGAACCUGCUUUCUCAGUAAACAGGCAGAGGACAGGAAAGCAGCAAAUUUGACAAGUCCCUUUCAAAUGCAUAGACUGCAGUGCAGUUGGGUUCCAUGCAUUUUUAUCAAAGGCAAAGCAUGAUCAUGAGGACACGACCUCAAUACACACUUCAAGUUGAUAACAUGUGAAAGCUCGUGUAAAACAAAACUUUGUAUGCUUUGUAUCAGGAACAGAGACUUGUCAAUUGAUAUUGUCAAUUAAUGUAUUUAUGUUUCACUCAACUAACGUUGAUUUAACAGAGCACUAACGGAAAACAAGAAUUUCCGUUAGGCUCCGUUAAAUAGCCACUUAUAUAUAUAGAAGA